rnacentral:lncRNA from 1 species
CAAAGAUUAAAAAACACAGUAAAGUGAAGAGGAAGAGUUUGUGUAUGACCAGGCAACUGAGUAUAAAAUUGAUUCAGAGUCAGUUGAAGAGUAUCUGCAAGUCAUUUCUUCUAGAAGAUAUAUUAGUAGUUCAUAAGUACUUGAAAGCCUGUUGUCUUCAUAAAUGAAAAAUAACCUAGAAAUCCUUAGAUUACAGAAGUUUGCC